GACGAACGCUGGCGGCGUGCUUAACACAUGCAAGUCGAGCGGAGCGGCGAACGGGUGAGUAACGCGUGAGUAACUGCCCCCCUCUCUGGGAUAACAGUUGGAAACGGCUGCUAAUACCGGAUAGUGGGGGAUGAAUCGCGUCCUACCAGCUUGUUGGUGGGGUAGUGCACUACCAAGGCGACGACGGGUAGCCGGCCUGAGGAGGCAACCGGCGACAUAGGGCUGGGGUACAGCGACAACUACGACGGGAGGCAGCAGUGAGGAAUAUAGCACAAUGGGGGAAACCCUGAAGCAGCAAUCCGCGUGCGGGAGAGAGGCCUGCAGGUUGUAAACCGAGUGAUGCCAUGACGCGGUAGUGGCAGAAGAAGCACCGGCUAACUACGUGCCAGCAGCCGCGGUAAUAC
rnacentral:rRNA from 1 species